UCUGUUUUGGGCGUUCUGGCCAUCAGAUAUACGACAUGGAAUUGGAUGUUGAGAGGCAGCUUGUGAAAAAAAGGCAUGGAGGCUUAUCAUCCAUGUCAGAAAUUUAUUAGUGGUGUUUAUGUGGGAAGUACCUCUGGGAGCUGGAAAAAAUAGAAGUUGAGAAGGCCUUCUACUGGAUUGAUAAUGUGACAGAUACAUCUGAUUUUUCAAUGAAAAGCCAACUCUACAAAGAUGCAGAUAAUUUUAUUUAAGGUAUUAUUACUUUCUACUAUUUAACAUCUAAGAGUUUCCUCUGGUUGCUAGUUUCUACCCUGGAUAUCACUAAUGUUAAUUAGGAAGUCUGUCCCUUGCCCCACCCAGACAGGUGACUGCAAAACAAUAGUGUCUUAAUUAUAUGCAUACCGCUUGGCAAUUGAUUGGCUAAUGGUCUUCUAGGAUCUACAGAUAUAAGUGCCAGAUCUAGGGUAGGCAAUCCACAGUCUCCAGCAGAAAGCACUGAAGCUCCUCAAGUGACCUCUGCAAGAUGUUUCUUGUACACUCCAAUAUUACUCCAAUGGGUUUGGAGUCAAAUCUUCAAGGGCCUUGCAAAAAAAAUCCUCUGCAGAGUAAAAGAACCAACAGUGGAAAGGGACUGAAGAUUCCUACAGGCUGAUUAUGCAUCACCCAGAACAAGGCUCUCUUCUUUUGACCUUCAUGGAUGAUAUACGACAUGGAAUUGGAUGUUGAGAGGCAGCUUGUGAAAAAAAGGCAUGGAGGCUUUUCAUCCGUGUCAGAAAUUUAUUAGUGGUGUUUAUUUGGGGAAUAACCUUGGGGAGCUGGAAAAAAAAAGAAGUUGAGAAGGCCUUCUACUGGAUUGAUAAUGUGACAGAUACAGCUGAUUUUUCAAUGCAAAGCCAACUCUACAAUCCUGCAGUAAAUUUUAUUUAAGCUAUUAUUACUUUCUACUAUUUAACGUUAAGAGUUUCCUCUGGUUGCUAGUUUCUACCCUGGAUAUCACUAAUGUUAAUUAGGAAGUCUGUAACUUGCCCCGCCCAGAUAGGUGACUGCAAAACAAUAGUGUCUUAAUUAUAUGCAUACCGCUUGGCAAUUGAUUGGCUAAUGGUCUUCUAG